AGCGCAGCCCCCACCAUGCUUCACACCAUCAGUCUCUGUUCCCUCUACUUGGAGAAGACCUUGUCCAUUCCAAAGUGAAGUGAAAAAAGAAAUGUAGGAGGGGAAACCUGGACAUUCCAUGGACGCGACUGGGGGUGGUUCAAAAGAGCUCCUUACCCAGAGUGAUGGGCUUGACAUUUUGUCCUUACUGUUGUCCACUGAAAGGUUAAAUAACAGGUGAGAGGCCACGUGGCAAAUGCAAAGUGCCUAGAGUGUAAAGUAGCAGAAGGCUGCCUUAAAACCCCAGCUUCCCCACGUACACUGUGAGCCUGGCCAAGUUCCCUGAGAUCUCUGAACCUCAGUUCCUCGUUCGUUACAUGACGGAAAUCGUGUUGACCUCAUAGGGUUUACUGUGAGAAUUGAAUGAGAGACGGGGUUUCACUACGUUGCCCAGGUUGGUCUGGAACUCCAGGACUCACUCAAUCUUCUAGCCUCGGCCUCCCAAGGUGCUGGGAUUACAGGCGUGAGCCACCGUGCCUACUCGAAUGAGGUAAUUCUUGACAAAAUAAAUGUGUGGCUAGUACAUCUUAA